GUUCUCUCCGAGCAUCUCGUACCAUAUGUGUUGCGGAGAGACUUCUUUAACGCGAUCUGCUGACUUUUAAAGUCAAAGCAGCGUGUCUGUUUUGUGUUAGGUGUGUGACACUGUGACCCUCCGUUCAUGUCCUGCACAUAUAUCCCCGUCCCUCCAAGCGGGGCUAACAGAGUUAACAGGAUAUCUGCACUGAGUAAAACUCAGAACAGCUCUUUUCAUGACAGCAGCAAUUAAUCCUGCUUUUCUGAGACAGGCUCUUUUCCUGAGCAUCAACAUUUUUACUCGUACUGUAUAUGCAGCAGAUAACAAAACGCACAUUAUUUCAUUUAUUAUUUUACAGUGCUUUAUAAAGAAGGGACAUUAGGAGGAGAGAGAAUCAGGUUGCAUCCCUUCUACCGACAGGUGAUACCAGAAAACAUGAAAGAAAAGAUAAAUCUCAGUUUAAAGUUGAAUUCUAUAGGCUAUUGAUUCUUGUGUGGGCGGUGAUUAUGCAACGGAAGCUAAGCUAGGUCGUGCAUUUGUGUGUCCACUCCAUCCCCGUGGACUCUGCACCAUAAAACCAAAAACAUGCUCUGGGUCAGCAGGUACUGGAUAAACAGUCUGCUUGUUGAUAAAUAAGAAAUCACGCUUUUCAUGUGCCGAAAACACAUCCUGAACUCGGAGCACUGCUGCCAGAAUGAACAUCCACUUGGACCUUCUGUUCAGCGAUGCCUCGCUCACACCUGAGCACCAUUCGCUGAAGAUUCGGUCGCGUCAAGGCCAAAGCCUGCACGCUCGCAUGCGCUCUGCUCUCUCUAACAGGAAAUAAUCAGCAGUGCUCGCAGCCUCUUCCUCGACAGUGAAGCCUUCCCUUUUUUUUUUUCUUCUCACAACACUCCCCCUGAAACUGCAGGGAGCAAAGCUUGUCAGGGAUUAACCAAACCACAGUGCUGCUACAAACUGUCUUCCCUCCGCUCCGGGGAUAGAGACGAAAAAAAAGAGGGAGAAGAGGAGCAGCACCCUCUAAUUUGCCACAGGAUAUGUGUCACACUUGGACGCUACAGCAGCAGCAGCAGCAGCAUAGGCUCACCGUGGUGCCUCAGCGUGCUGCGUUAUUGGCCGGUCCCUCCAGUCGUUACCAGGGGCGUGGAACCGAGCGAGCUGAAUGGGAAACACAUCGUUGUGCCUCGCCGCUGCCGUAUUAACCUAAAGGGAGGGAGGGAGACGAUGACAGAAGAAUACAGUUGUCCUCGUCAAUUGGUGUUGAUUGCCGAGGGGACGACAGGAGAGCUGAAAUCUCCCACGUUUUAAAGCGCCCCGACUGGUCUUGAACUACACGCCCCGCAUUCAGGAGCCACGAAGAAGAAGAAGAAGGAGCCGCGGACAGACGCGGCAUCGUUAGCUGCUGUAUCCGCAACCGAGAGGAGGGAUGCGAGGACUUGAAAGGACAUAAAUACGUUUUCCUCAUUUUUUUUCACCCCCACCUCUCCCCCGUCGGGAUGGGCUCAGUGCUCAGUUAGCAAAAGACGGAGUUGAAUUCGAAUUUCUUUGGGUUAGCGUGAAAAUGAGGAUAAAAUGCAGAUAGGGCGUUUUAAAGUCCACCUCUCAGCCGCGGGCACUCGAGUAACGUUAGCAACGUUUUUCUAUCACUAGACCUGGCAGGUCCGCCCGGGUCGCUCACGUGAGUUUAGUCGAGGUGUAGUCGCUUUUCUUCUAUUUUUUUUUUUUUUUUAAACAAGGUGAGUCCCAUUUUGCUUCAAUGUAACUCUGAUAAAAUGUUUCCGACACUAACUAACCUCUUCCUACCGCCCAAACGUCUGUUCUGAAUUAGCGAACUUAACGUUAACUUGUGUCGUCAAAGCCAGUUUUGCUAGUUUCUCCAUAAUGGCUUCUGCUAACAGUGUGUUUUUAAACUCCUGGGCUCGUCUUGUUCAUCCACCUGCUUUCACUGACACCAACUAACUCCCAACUCCGUCAUGACUCACGCCCAUUAAACAAAUGUUUAACGUUAUAGCUUUCAGCUUUGCCCUCCACAGAACAUGCUGUGGUUUUGUUUCACUAAC
ensembl:lncRNA